UACGUAGGUGGCAAGCGUUGUCCGGAAUUAUUGGGCGUAAAGCGCGCGCAGGCGGUCCUUUAAGUCUGAUGUGAAAGCCCGGGGCUCAACCCCGGAACGUCUUUCGAAACUGCUGAGCUCGAGUGCGGAAGAGGCAACUGGAAUUCCCAGUGUAGCGGUGAAAUGCGUAGAUAUUGGGAAGAACACCUGAGGCGAAGGCGGGUUGCUGGGCCGACACUGACGCUGAGGCGCGAAAGCCAGGGGAGCGAACGGG
rnacentral:rRNA from 1 species